rnacentral:piRNA from 1 species
GAAAAUGUCUGAUAUUUCAAG